UAACGUUACGCGCAGGCCUUUGUUGUAAGUUCCGCUUGAAACAGGAAGUCGCUCUAUUAACCUCGGGACUCCUCUCACGCUGCACGUGUGCGCCGAAGAUACUGACCGAGCGAGACGCUUUAUUACACUUAUUCGAGCUCAAAAUGAGAGAAAUGGCUCAUAUUUCGUGCACGGGUUGUGCUUUUGAGGAAAGAUUUGGAGACGCGAACCUCGGCUCAGAUUAUAUUCCUGGUACGACCUGACACGCGGAUGUAGCGCCUUUGUAGCAUGUGGGCACGAGCACAUUGUAUGUGUUCAUAGUUUACCACAUUUUUCAUUCAUGUUCUGCUUUAUGUUGCAAAAUUAAUUUUGCUGCUGAAAUUGACGGAACUUCCUAGAGACAGGGAACAUCAAGCCUGAAAAGGACCCUCUGGAAAAGAAACGAAGCUUGGAGUGAAUUAAAUGAAGACCUCUAGUAUGACUAACCUCAACCAGAUUAAAUACAUGACGAACAGCUAUGUUUAGAAAGCAUAAUGUGCCUAAAUAUGCUUUCCCCCAUCUUUCGGGGUAAAUCUAUCAUACUAAAAUGUAUAGUGAGAUUAAUCUGAUGCUUUCACAAUAAACCAUGAUGACCACAA